rnacentral:lncRNA from 1 species
UUUUUUUUGUUUUUCUGGUAAACAUCACCUCUUUAAAACCAGUGGAAUGUCUGGGAGUUCCCAUUGCAGACUCAGCAGUAACAAACCUGACUCAUACCUAUGAGGAUCCUUGGCUACUGGGUUAAGGAUCUGGCAUUGCCAUGAGCUAUGGCAUAGGUCAUAGAUGUGGUUCAGAUCCUGCGUUGCCGUGGCUGUGGUGUAGGCCAGUGUUGCAGCUCCGAUUCAGCCCCUAGCCUGAGAACCUCCAUAUGCUGCACACAUGGCCCUAAAAAAACAAAAAACUACUGUAAUGUCAGUUACCUGUGCCAUUUGUUUCCUUCUGGGACCCUUAUUGAUACUGGGGAUAUUCCCAGUGUGUGGUAUCUAUUCUCCUCUCCUGGACAGUGUGGAUAACAGUAAAUAGUACUCACAAUGUAAUGGUAAUGUAUUACACUUUUAUUCAGUAUUCAGAUGUCCGUCUUUGUGAGUGAAUAGGGCAGCAUGCUUUUGGAAAGUGGCUACGCAAGUGUCAGGUACUUGUUCUCCACACAACUUCUCUUGACUUGGUUUGGAACUUCAAGAGAUUUCAUGUUUCCUGCUAUGAAAUAUUUGAAUGUGAACAGAAGGAAAAGAAGUUCACAUGCAAAGCCGGUUGCUGCAAUUGUACGUCAGAGAUGAAGCAAUUAACGGUGACAUCAACAUCACCAAAUACCUAUUUCAAAACCCAAAACUGUCUCAAAAUAAAUUUCUGUUUCCACAUAAACAAUAUUUCUUCAACAAAAGAGAAUUCAUGUUUCCAACUGAGCUGAUUCCUCUUUAAGAUAAAUGCUUAAUUAAGUUAUACGUAUUAUAAGGGUGCUUCUCUUUUGCUCAGCAUCAGCAUCUAAUUUGGAAACUGCUUUGAGAGAGAGUUUUAAAAUAAUGAAACUCAAGCACACUGGGAAAUUGAUAUCUCUGUGUCUCCCUCUCUCCAUGUUUGUCUUUGCAAUUUUCUUUUCAACAUGUAGAUGUUGAAGUCUAUUGGUCAGAUUUCAAACUUGGUAUGUAUAAAUAUAAAACUAAAUUCUUGGUCGCUCCCUCUUGCCUGUCUCUCCCAUUGAUUAGUUUAUUUGGUUUUGGGCGAAUACUUUCUACUAGUUUCUUAAGCCAAAUGCCAAGGAGUCAAUCUGGACUUGACACAUUCUGUCACUUCACAUCUAAUUCAUCUUAUUAUCAAGGUUCUGCUCUCAAGUGUUCCUGUAAUCAGUAGCCAGAGGAGAACUUUUAAAACACAAGUCAGGAGUGAUGAACCUGACUAGUAUCCAUGAGGACAUGGGUUCAAUCCCGGGCCUCGCUCAGUGGGCUAAAGGUUCUAGCAUUGUUGUGAGCUGUGGUGUGAGUCCCAGACGUGGCACAGAGCUGCCAUUGCUGCAUCUAUGGUGUAGGUCAGCACCUGAACCUCAGUUUGAUCCCUAGCCUGGGAGCUUCCACAUGCCAUCGGUACAGCCCUAAAAAGACAAAAAACGAACAAAAAACACCUAAGUCAGAACUUGUCCUUCUUUGCUCAUGGACUUCAUGAUUUCCCAUCUCAUUCAGAGUAAAAUCCAAAUUCCUUAAAUAGUUUGUCAAGUCUUCCAGAAAUGAUCAACCACUCAUUUCCUAUCUGACAUUCUCUACAAAUACUCCUUUUUUUCCUCUUUGCUCCAGCUCAACUGAUCACCUUUUAUGUGUGUGCAUAUGUGUGUAUGUAUGUACGUGUGUAUGUCUAUGUAUAGAAAUACAGGCAUAUCUGUAUUUCUUGAUUGUGCUUUGCAGACAUUGCUUUUUUUUUUUAACAAAUUGAAGGUUUGUAAAAACCCUAUAUAGAGCAAAUAGAUCAGUGGCUCUUUUCCAGUAGUAUUUGCUUAUUUUGUUUCUGUGUCACAUUUUGGCAAUUUCUGCAGUAUUUCAGAUGUUUUUGUUAUUACUAUAUUAUGAUCUAUAAUCAGUUAUCUCUGGUGUUAGCAACUUGAAGGCUCAGAUGAUGGUUAGCAUUUUGUAGCAGUGUAGGACUUUUUUAGGACUGCACCUGCUUGCAGUGUACAGAAGUUCCCAGGUUAUGGGUCAAAUCAGAGCUGUAGCUGCUCUCCUACACCACAGCCCCAGCAGUGCAGAAUCUGAGACGCGUCUAUGACCUAUACCACAGCACAAAGAAAUGCUGGAUCCUUAACCCACUGAGUGAGGCCAGGGAUUGAACUCGCAUCCUCAUGGAUACUAGUCGGGUUAGUUACCACUGAGCCAUGAUAGGAACUCCUAGCAACAUAGCACUUUUAAAUUAAGGUAUAACAUUUCUUUUUUUAGACAUAAUGGUAUUGCACAUUUAAUAGAUGACAAUAUAAUAUAAAUAUAACUUUUAUUUGUACUGAGAAAACAAAAUUUUUUGUGACUUGCUUUAUUGUGAUUAUCAGGAACUGAACCCACAGUGUCUCUGAGGUAUGCCUGCAUUUAUUUUAUACUUGUUCCCUUCUAUAUAUAGGUAUGCAUGUAUUUAGGUAGGUAUGUCAUGUUUAUGCAUUUUCAUUUACACUCGGCCUGCUUCUGCCUCAAGACCUUCCACUUUCAGGCCCCAUAUUCUAGAAUGCUCUUUGCAUAUAUCACCUAAUUCAGACUUUUAUUAAAAUAACAAGUUCUCAGAGUGCCUUUCCUGAAAGACCUAUUUAAAAUAUAAAAACCUACACCAUUUCUCAUUGCUCUUUUUUGCUUUGUUUUUCUCUUUAUCACAUUACCGUUCAGCAUACUCUAGUUCAUUGUGUUGUUGCUAUUAUUUAAUGUUUGCCCCCAUAUAAAAUAAUUUAAACAAAUAGGAACUUUUUUCUGUUUUAAGUUUUUAGCUUCCCAGUCCUGCAUCCUCACUGCCUAGAGAGGUGCCUUUCUCAUGGUAGGCAUCCAAUAAAUAUGCGUUAAACACACAGCUGAAUAUAUGGCUUGAUAUUGUCACCUAUGACAUCAUCCAGCCGUAAAACAUUGUGCGUGUGUAGCCUUUGGAGUGUUGACAGGCGUCUUCUUUUAUUGCUGGAAGAUUUUGAUGGUGAAAUACUGUUGCUUCUUGGUGGUUGGAGAUGUCAAAAAUAAAGUUUUGGGAUGGUUUUUACUCUGUAAUUCCAAGUAGUAUUAUUUUUUAAUUGGAGACUAAAGCUGUUUGACUCUAGCCAGGAACUCUGGCAUUUGUGCUGCUCUCAAGAGAACAAAGGUCCUUUGAAUGCCAUGUGCUUUCACUUCUACACUCUGUGCAGGAAACUAUUACUCAUAAAUGUUCAUAACUAGUCUCAGAGUAAGUACGUCCUCAGAGACACCUUUCCAGAAAUGCAUAGUGCUCUUCCCUACUCCAGAUACUUAUAAUAUUCCAUUUUAUUAUCUGUGUAUUACUUUCACCUCUCUGAAAUUACUUUAUUUAUCUUAUACAUUCAUUUUCUGUAUCUCUUCCCUAAACUUUCUGUGACUGCAGGAACAUGUUUGGGAUGUUUACUCCAGUAUCCUAAUGCCUUCCAGCUCUUCUUAAGACAUAAAAGAUGCUCACUGGUAUUUAUUUAAUGAACAAAUGGGUGGAUCUUGUAUUCGUCUCUGUAUAGUGAAAGUUAGAGAUGAAAUCUACUUUGAGCAAUCUGUGUAUGUGUCUUCUAAACUUUUAGAAAAUAAUAUAUUAAAAAUAGAAAAAUGAGAGAGAAAAAAGGAAAGAACUUAACCAGCUACUUAUUAGAAGGGGAAACAUUGAGAAUUCUUACAGUUCCAAAUGCUGGAAAGGAUAUGGAGCAGCAGGAACUCUGAUUCAUUUUUGGUGUAAAUGCUAAAUGGUUCACUCUGGAAGACACUUGGGCAGUUUCUUACAAAACGAAAAUACUCUUACUUUUGGAUCCAGCAAUGAUAUUCUUUGAUUUUUUUGCUUUUUAGGGCCGCACCUGCCGAAUUAUGAAAGUUCCCUGGCUAGGGAUCGAAUCAGAGCUACAGCUGCUGGCCUGUGACACAGCCACAGUCACGAAGGAUCCAAGCUGCACCUGCAAUCUACACCACAGCUCACAGCAACGCUGGAUCCUUUAACCUACCGAGCAAGGCCAGGGUUCAGACCUGCAUCCUCAUGGAUACUAGUCAGGUUCGUUACCAUUGAGCCACGAUGGGAACUCCUUAUUCUUUGAUAUUUUCCUGAAUAAGUAAAUGUUCUUAGAGAAAGAAUGAAUAGGAUACACAAAUAUACAUACACAUGUAUCUAUUAUGAGGAAUUGGCAACUAGCUGACAUGAUUAUGAAGGCUGCAGAGUCCUAUAUUCUGUAGUUGGUGAGCCAGAGAUCCAAGAAAGCCAGGGCUAUAAUUCAGUACAAUUCCAAAGCUAAUGAUGUGAAUCUCAGACCCAAGGCAGGAGAAGAUGAGAUGUUAAAAUUCAGUGCAGCAAGAAAAUACAGGGCAAAUUCCUUCUUCUUCCAUCUUUUGUAGCAUUGAGACCUUCAGUGGAUUGGAAGAUGCCCAACCAUGUUGGGAGUAGCGAUCUAAUUUGCGGAGUUCACUAUUCAGAUACUAAUCUCAUCUAGAAACCUUCAAAGACAGUCCGAAAAAAGUUUGAUCUGGGCACCUUGUGGCCCACUCAAUUUGACAAAUAUGUUUAGCCAUCACAUAUAAAGGAGGGGACAACUCAUAUCCACACAAAAAUCUGCACAUGAACAUUUAUUGCAUCUUUAUUUUUAUUUGCCAAAACUUAGAAGCAACCAUGAUGUCCUUCAGUGGUGAAUGGAAAACUAUAGUAUAUCCAGACAAUGGAAUAUUAUUCAGCACUAAACAGGGCUCUUCAGCCAUGAAAGACAUGGAAAACAGUUAAAUGUAUAUUACUCAGUGAAAGAAGCCAAUCUGGAAAGGCUACUUACUGCAUAGCUCCAAGCAUAUGACAUUUUGGAAAAGGCAAAACUGUGGAGACAGUGUAAAGAUAAAUAGCUGACAGGGCUUGGGGGACAGGAAGGGAUGACUAUAUACAACACAGAGAAUUUGGGAAGUAGUGAUAUAUUAUGUAUGACUCUGUGUUGGUGAGUAUGCACAUCUCAUUAUAAAUUAAGCCAAACCAAUAAAAUAUUUAACAGCUAUGGUGAGACCUAAUAUGAACCAUGGUCUUUGGGUGAUAAUGAUGUCUCGGUGUAGGUUCAUCAGUCAUAACCAAGGAACCCCUCUAGUGAGAGAUGUCGAUAGUGAGGAAGGCUGUGCCCAUGUAGCGUAGUGAUACAGUAAUGGAAGCAGGUAAAGUGGGGAAUCUUUGUAUCUUCUCUUCAGUUUUGCUAUGCCCUCAAAAUAAAAUCUAUUAAAAAUGAAAGGAACUUAAAUAAAUACACUGCAAUAGUGAUGUUUUAUAAGAUCCUAAGUUAAUCUUGUCUAAAACAGGUUUAUAUUAUAUAUAUAUAGUCAUUUAAAUAAGGUACUUGUUUUAUGACAUUUUCUUUUUUUGUAGAGUUCCCAUUUAUUUUUUAUUUUGAAUUUAAUGAAGUACUAUUUAAACACAAUUGAGUCACCCUUUUUUGGCAUCAGCCUAGAAAACAAAAUAUUUAUACAAAGUAGUUAUGGGCUUACACUCCAAAUACAUACAGUUGUUUUGGAUAAUACAUUUCAACUUAAAUGAAUAAUCUUUUACUCCAAAUUCCUAAAUGUAUUUUUUAAUAUAGCAUUUUUAUUACUCAGUUACAUUUUUAGUUGUACGGUGAUCAUCACAACCAAAUUUUACAGCAUUUCUAAUCCAAACCCCCAGUGCAUCCUCCCCCCAAACUGUCUCCUUUGGAAACCAUAAGUUUUUCAAAGUCUGUGGGUCAGUAUCUGUUCUGCAAAGAAGUUCAUUCUGUCCUUUUUUUAGGUACGACAUAUAAGUGAUAGUAUAUGAUGUGGUGUCUCAUUGUCUGACUGAUUUCACGUAGCAUGAUAAUUUCUGGGUCCAUCCAUGUUGCUACAAAUGCCA